rnacentral:tRNA from 1 species
UGGGGUGUUGCUCAGUGGUAGAGCACAUGCUUAGCACAUUCAAGAUACUGGGUUAGAUCCCCAGCACCCCCC